UGCUCGGCCGUUAACUUAGAAUUUUACCGUACACCAAAUUCCGCCAGAGAACUACUGGCGCAAGCCAAAAACUCACAGGACCUGCCGGUGGCCUAACUUCCUAGAGGAGCCUGUCCUAUAAUCGAUACCCCACGCUCUACCUUACCCCCUUUAGCUCCCCAGUCUAUAUACCGCCGUCGUAAGCUAACCCUUUGAAGGCACCACCGUGUGCAUAACAGAGCCCAUUCUAAGACGUCAGGUCAAGGUGUAACUAAUGAGGGGGCAGCGAUGGGCUACAUUCUUUAAACUAAAGCCCUCCCCGUAAGUAUUAUGAAACCCCGCCGAAAGUCGGAUUUAGCAGUAAAUUUAACAAGUUGACGUUAAAUUGAACCUCGCACUAGGACACGUACAC
rnacentral:rRNA from 1 species